UGCCUAAGUUCUAAUAGGAUAUGGCAUAAGCAACCGUUCAGAGUAUCAAGCUCCUCGUCAGAGCACUCUGAACGGUCAUAUCCCGAAAGGGGUAUGGGUAGCGAAAGCUAUC
rnacentral:sRNA from 12 species